GAGAAGAUCAAGCGGAGAUUUGGAAAAUCAUUGAAGAUAAAUCUCAUCCCGGAGCUACCGACGUGCCAGGCCCACAUGCAAGUGAAAAGAAAAUUUCAAAGCACCUGAGAAGACUUGGAGACGAACUAGAAUGCGAGGGGCCAAAAGGAAGGCCCAGGCCGAUCGGCCUGAGGGUUUCCUUCGCCCCCUCGUCUUCCAAUUUUUGCCACGCGCUCUCUAGACUAUAAAUAUUCCGAAAAAUCC
rnacentral:lncRNA from 1 species